CACAGUUCAAGAUAGCUCACAAAUUAAAUCUUAAAACAACCAAAACUUAGUUAGUGUACUUUGCAUUGUUAUACCUUUUCUAAAACAAACAUGGCAAAGGGUCUAUUCAAACGAUGAUCUAUGUUGUCUCAUCAUCAAUAAUACUUAAAAAAGUAUGUUUGUUUGUAUAUUUUGAAUUGCUUAACCUUUUCUACAAAAAAAUGACAAAGGCAACAAGAAUUCAACUCUAAACAACUUAUGGUGAAUGCUCAAGUAAAUUUCAAAUUGCUCACGUAAGCCAUGACGAUUUGCAUGCAAAAAUUUUGCAAUAAAUAGCAAUCUCAUCCCUCAACUAUCGCACCUCAGUUGCCUCUGUAUAACUGUCAUGUCAAAAUUGGUAGCCUUCAAACAUUUUUAUGCUCUAGUACUACUACUUUUUCCCUUAUUAACACUUCCCCUUUUCCAUUACCAUUGUCCUUUUGACAAGUCUCAUUUAGAGGACUCAUGGUGAUAGACCAACAUGCUCCAAC
rnacentral:lncRNA from 1 species